rnacentral:rRNA from 1 species
UACAGAGGUCUCAAGCGUUGUUCGGAUUCAUUGGGCGUAAAGGGUGCGUAGGCGGCGCGGUAAGUCGGGUGUGAAAUCUCGGAGCUUAACUCCGAAACUGCAUUCGAUACUGCCGUGCUUGAGGACUGGAGAGGAGACUGGAAUUUACGGGGUAGCGGUGAAAUGCGUAGAUAUCGUAAGGAAGACCAGUGGCGAAGGCGGGUCUCUGGACAGUUCCUGACGCUGAGGCACGAAGGUCAGGGGAGCAAACGGG